rnacentral:rRNA from 1 species
CGGUAAAAGCCUCAAAUUUGAAAUCUGGUACUUUCAGUGCCCGAGUUGUAAUUUGUAGAAUUUGUCUUUGAUUAGGUCCUUGUCUAUGUUCCUUGGAACAGGACGUCAUAGAGGGUGAGAAUCCCGUUUGGCGAGGAUACCUUUUCUCUGUAAGACUUUUUCGAAGAGUCGAGUUGUUUGGGAAUGCAGCUCAAAGUGGGUGGUAAAUUCCAUCUAAAGCUAAAUAUUGGCGAGAGACCGAUAGCGAACAAGUACAGUGAUGGAAAGAUGAAAAGAACUUUGAAAAGAGAGUGAAAAAGUACGUGAAAUUGUUGAAAGGGAAGGGCAUUUGAUCAGACAUGGUGUUUUUUGCAUGCACUUGCCUCUCGUGGGCUUGGGCCUCUCAAAAAUUUCACUGGGCCAACAUCAAUUCUGGCAGUAGGAUAAAUCAUUAAGAAUGUAGCUACCUCGGUAGUGUUAUAGCUUAUUGGAAUACUGCUAGCUGGGAUUGAGGACUGCGCUUCGGCAAGGAUGUUGGCAUAAUGGUUAAAUGCCGCCCGUCUUGAAACACGGACC